CGAAAGCCUGACGGAGCAAGACCGCGUGAGGGACGAAGGCUCUUGGGUUGUAAACCUCUUUUCUCAGGGAAGAAACCUGACGGUACCUGAGGAAUAAGCAUCGGCUAACUCCGUGCCAGCAGCCGCGGUAAGACGGAGGAUGCAAGCGUUAUCCGGAAUGAUUGGGCGUAAAGCGUUCGCAGGUGGCUAUUCAAGUCGGCUGUCAAAGACCGGGGCUUAACCCCAGAAAGGCAGUGGAAACUGAAUGGCUAGAGUGCAGAUCGGGUAGAGGGAAUUCCCAGUGUAGCGGUGAAAUGCGUAGAGAUUGGGAAGAACACCGGUGGCGAAAGCGCUCUGCUGGACUGCAACUGACACUGAGGGACGAAAGCUAGGGGAGCGAAAGGGAUUAGAUACCCCUGUAGUCCUAGCCGUAAACGAUGGGUACUAGGCGUUGCCGGGCUCGACCCUGGCAGUGUCGGAGCUAACGCGUUAAGUAUCCCGCCUGGGAAGUACGCACGCAAGUGUGAAACUCAAAGGAAUUGACGGGGGCCCGCACAAGCGGUGGAGUAUGUGGUUUAAUUCGAUGCAACGCGAAGAACCUUACCAGGGCUUGACAUGUCGCGAAUCCCGGUGAAAGCUGGGAGUGCCUUCGGGAGCGCGAACACAGGUGGUGCAUGGCUGUCGUCAGCUCGUGUCGUGAGAUGUUGGGUCAAGUCCCGCAACGAGCGCAACCCUCGUUUUCAGUUGCCAUCAUUAAGUUGGGAACUCUGAAGAGACUGCCGGUGACAAACCGGAGGAAGGUGGGGAUGACGUCAAGUCAGCAUGCCCCUUASGUCSKGGGCAACACAMGUAMUGCAAUGCUGCGGACAKWGGGUAGCGAGCCGKUGACGGCAAGCCAAUCCCGUAAACCGUGGUUCAGUUCAGAUCGCAGGCUGCAACUCGCCUGCGUGAAGGCGGAAUCGCUAGUAAUCGCAGGUCAGCAUACUGCGGUGAAUACGUUCCCGGGCCUCGUACACACCGCCCGUCACACCAUGGGAGCUGGUUUAGCCCGAAGUCGUUACUCUAACCGCAAGGGGGAGGACGCCGAAGGCUGGGCUGGUGACUGGGGUGAAGUCGUAACAAGGUAGCCGUACCGGAAGGUGUGGCUGGAUCACCUCCUUUUUAGGGAGACCUGCUUGCUGAUGACCAUUACCCAAUACAAAAAGGUCACAGUGAAGUCAUCCCAAGGUCGAGAGAGGUUUUUGAGAAAAAGGCUUUCAAACUAUACUCGGGUUCGGCUCUUUGAGCGCAUAGAUUUGAGCUCAAAAGAUUCAAUGUAAAAUCGUCAGUCAAAAGUCUUGACUUCCUCGGGAGAGGAUGUGUUAAGAUCAAAGACCGGGGGAAACCCCAGAGCCAGUCAGAGCUGCGCCGGCAAGUUGAAAAAAAAUUACCGCCAGGGGAUUGACAAACAAAAAGCCGCCGUGCUAAAGUAAAAGACCUGGGCAAACAGAAGCGUGGGAGAGUUGAGAAACGACCCCAGUUGAAGAUUUAAGCCCGCCGUCUGAAAAAGAAAAAAAAUUCCAGAAAAAGGGUUGACAGUCAAAAAGCAGCCGUGCUAAGCUAAAAGACCGGAAAGAAAAAGGAAGUGGGAGAGUUGAGAAACGACCCCAGUUGAAGAUUUAAGCCCGCCGGCUCAAAGAAAAAAAAUUCCCGCCAGGGGAUUGACAAACAAAAGGCCGCCGUGCUAAAGUAAAAGACCGGAAACAAAAAAUCAGUGAGAGAUUUCAGCACCGACCCAAGUAAUUGACUUGAGCGCCUGCUGGAUUCUAUCCAGUCAGAACCUUGAAAACUGCAUAGCAACUUGUCAGGGAGAAGCUUUUAGUGAAUAGCUGAAAGCUAAUCAAACAGACAUCAAUGUUAAACGUGGUCAAGCUACAAAGAGCUGACGGUGGAU
rnacentral:ncRNA from 2 species